rnacentral:rRNA from 1 species
GUUGACCUCGGAUCAGGUAGGAAUACCCGCUGAACUUAAGCAUAUCAAUAAGCGGAGGAAAAGAAACCAACAGGGAUUGCCCUAGUAACGGCGAGUGAAGCGGCAACAGCUCAAAUUUGAAAUCUGGCCUCGGCCCGAGUUGUAAUUUGCAGAGGAUGCUUUUGGCGCGGUGCCUUCCGAGUUCCCUGGAACGGGACGCCACAGAGGGUGAGAGCCCCGUAUGGUUGGACACCUAGCCUGUGUAAAGCUCCUUCGACGAGUCGAGUAGUUUGGGAAUGCUGCUCAAAAUGGGAGGUAAAUCUCUUCUAAAGCUAAAUACCGGCCAGAGACCGAUAGCGCACAAGUAGAGUGAUCGAAAGAUGAAAAGCACCUUGAAAAGGGGGUUAAACAGUMCGUGAAAUUGUUGAAAGGGAAGCGCUUGUGACCAGACUUGCGCCGGGCGGCUCAUCCGGGGUUCUCCCCGGUGCACUCCGCCCGGCUCAGGCCAGCAUCGGUUCUCGUGGGGGGAUAAGACUGGUGGGAACGUAGCACCCUCCGGGGUGUGUUAUAGCCCGCCUGACGAUACCCCCGUGGGGACCGAGGUUCGCGCUCCGCAAGGAUGCUGGCGUAAUGGUCAUCAGCGACCCGUCUUGAAACACGGACCAAGGAGUCGUCCAUUAUAGCGAGCGUUUGGGUGUAAAACCCGCACGCGUAAUGAAAGUGAAAUUAGGUGAGAGCUUCGGCGCAUCAUCGACCGAUCCUGAUGUUCUCGGAUGGAUUUGAGUAAGAGUUAUAACGGACGGACCCGAAAGACAGUGAACUAUGCUUGUAUAGGGUGAAGCCAGAGGAAACUCUGGUGGAGGCUCGCAGCGGUUCUGACGUGCAAAUCGAUCGUCAAAUAUGAGCAUGGGGGCGAAAGACUAAUCGAACUGUCUAGUAGCUGGUUACCGCCGA